UAGAUUUUGGUACACGUUUAGGAUUUAUUAAGUCUAGAAUAAUUUUCUUUAAUAAAUAAUUGAUAAAUAAUUAAUAACCUUUAGUACUAUUGUAGAACUAAUUUCCAAAAAUAAUUCAAAAUUUCAGGAAUUUAACUCAAAUGUGGGAGCAACAUUACCCGGAAUGUUUGCUCCGUAUUCUAUGGUCCGAGCCCCGGACCAUGUUUCUGCUCCGUUUGUAAUAAUCGCAUCCACCACAGAUCGGUCUUGGUAAGACACAACGGAUGUAUGGAGUGGAUGCAUUUCCUGCUGCGCCAAUGUAGACCCCAGUGAGUCUUUAUCUUCGUCGCCGUCGCAGCAAUCUCCACAACAGCAAUUCAUGCAGAAGUUGACGCCACACAUUUCUGUUCAUGUUCCGGACAACGCAUCUUUUCUCCAAUUCAGCUGUGAUAGUUUCUGAGGAUUCGUGGAUGCUCUGGAGAUGAGUGCCUGGAGAUGAUUGCUUUGGAAAGCUUUUAUUGGCGAAGUUUUUUUGUGCAUAAAUUAAGCAUUCGUCGGCACAUAAAAUCGGUUGAAAGCCUCGGUCGAUAUGGAUGAAGUCAUACAGAAAGAUGUUAAAAAUGUAUGUGGCUAAAACACUUCCAUGCGGCACCCCUUUUUGUACUAAACCGUAACAGACGACAUGUUGUUGAUGUUAAUUGAAAACUUUCGUGGAUUAAGAAAAAACUUGCCAUCAAGUUGACCAGAUACUAAUUUGGAUUAACUCCUUAAGUACUCCUGCGUGACAUAUGGAGUCAAAUGCUUUUGACGUUAUAUCACUGUGGAGCUUCAGUAGUGCAUGUUGUGUGGAAUGGCCAGAACCCAAAUUGAUUUAUUCCAGGCCGCUUGAUUUUUGACGUUUGGUGUUAUUGAUGUGGCGACAUAGAUGCAUGCUGUGCCUCUGGAGAUAAGAUCGUCUACAGGAUUUGUGAAAAAAUUGUAGUUCUGGAUCUCGGGAUCAUCCAAAUAUGAGGAAAUUAGGAUAUGGGCCAAAAAUGAGGAAUCAUUUGGAUACGAUUUGUGGAACCACGAAGACGUGUGACAUCUAGUGGGUUAUCAGCCUACCAUACAUGCAGCGUUUUACUAUUAGAAUUCUUAUGUAGAUCACCCCAUAAGGUACUUUUUGAUAAGUCCGUCUAAGUUUUUUCAAAGUUCUAGCCUUUUCUUUAAAAUCUAUUGUUUACUGGGAUACUGCGGGGAUUGUAUGCUGAGCCUAUGAGGUAUUUAAAGGUAUUGGUGUUUCUCAAUAUUUCUUUUUGAAUAAACGACAUACCAAUACUAACGUCGUUUAAA